UGCUGGACCGUUUUUCCCGUUGCCCGGGGCGGAGGACCUGUUGCCGCCGCCUGAGGGGGCAGCGCGGCGGGGAGAGGGGGAGCUCGCGUUCCCGCUUCUCGCCCGGAAACUCAGCGCUGCCUCCAGGCGGACAGCCGUCGGUACGUUGAGCCCCGAGCUGGGCUUGCAGCGCAGCGAGUCCGUCUGACGGCCGUCGUGUGCUGUUAGCGACUGUCAGUGCCCCGGCAGAAGGGAUACUUGUCAGUGUGAAGACGCACACGCAAGAUUAGAUUGAAACUUUGCCUCAUAGGCCCCCCCUUUUUUUUUUUUUUUUUUUUUUGCCAAAAUAAUAAUUAUAAACAUUAGGACGCGUGAGGGAGGAUGGAUUACAAAUGAGCCCUUCCAUAGAUGGUGAUGCUGAAGCACGAAGAGACUGAGCGCUGUGGCCAAGGGAGAGAGCGCUGCCCACAGCUCCACAGAAUCACAGAAUGGCCUGGGUGGAAGGGACCUCAAGGAUCAUGAAGCUCCAACCCCUGCCACAUGCAGGGCCACCAACCUCCCCAUUUAACACUAGACCAGGCUGCUCAGGGCCCCAUCCAACCUGGCCUUGAACGCCUCCAGGGAUGGAGCAUCCACAGCCUCUCUGGGCAGCUGUUCCAGCACCUCACCACUCUCUCUGUAAAGAACUUCCCCCUCACAUCCAACCUAAAUCUCCCCUCCCUUAACUUAAAACCAUUUCCCCUUGUCCUGCAGUUACCUACCCUUUCAAAGAGUUGAUUCCCCUCCUGUUUUAUGUUCCCUUUAGCUACUGAAAGGCUGCAAUGAGGUCACCCUGCAGCCCUCUUUUCUCCAGGCUGUACAAGCCCAGCUCCCUCAGCCAGUCUUCGUAGGGGAGGUGCUCCAGUCCUCUGAUCAUCCCAAAAUGGCUUUGAACAUCUCCAGGGAUGGGGCAUCCAAGGCUGCACCUGGCCUUAGCUUUCACAGUUUAUCAUCCCAUACACACUUCUUCUUUUGUGAUUUAUGUGUAUUUUUUCCCCACAUCAAACUGCUCUGUUUGAUGCUCACUGUUUGACUUGCUUUGGAAUUAAAUAAUGAAGGUACCAUAUGAUAGAACAGUUGAAAGAAGGAAAAAAUACAACCGUUCCAACAGCUUAUGUUAUAAAAAUGUUAAUUACCAGAACAUCUGGUAUUAAAUGAAACAGCUUCUUCAACUGAAAACAGGCAAGCAGCUUUUACAGUGUAUAUACACACUACUGUUUGUAGUCACUCGUGUUGUUUAUGAUUACCAUAAAAAGUAAUGAAUAUUAAAAAUAUUCUUUUUUAUUAUGAUGAACAGAAAUUAACCAGUACUUUACUGAGGAUUCAUAUUAAGGAUUUGCAUAUGUUUUGCAUCUCUUGCAGGGAUAUGGAAACUACCACACCAAGUAGACAGUGGACUUUCUAAUUUCCUUAUAUAAAUUCAUUAACUUACUAACUUCCACCACUUCCUGCAAGAUAGCUGAGUUCAGUUGCACUCAUAUUACAAAUGAGGAAGUGAAAUACCAAGAAAGGAAGUGGUUUAACUGUAUUAUGCAGGAAUUCUGCUUGUGAAACCGAAUCCUAGCAUCUUUAGUCACCACAGUAAGCAGUCAUCCACAGGGACCUUGAAGGCUGUAGAGGGAUGACAGAGAUCUCAUGGAGUUCAACAAGUCAAAGUGCUGAGUCCUGUAUCCAGACAGGAGCAAUUCCUGGAACCACAGCAUGCUGGGACCACCCAGCUGGAAAGCAGCUCUGCAAAGAAGGACCUGAGGUUGUGGCAGAGACCCCCCUCUUCUCUGUGCUGCUAAGGUUGCAUCUGGAGAACUACUGGGACUCCAGUACAAGAGAGACCUUAACAUACUGGAAACAGUGCAAUGGAGGGUCACCAAGAUGGCUGGAGACUGGAGUGAGGAAAGGCUGAGAGGGCUGAAGCUCUUCAGCCUGGAGGAGACUCAGGGAUCUCAUCAAUGUAAGUAAAUACCUGAAGGGAGGAUGCCAAGAGCAUGGAGCCAGGCUCCUUUCAGGGGUGCCAAGUGCCAGAACAAGCAGCAAUGGGCACAGACUGCAAUACAGUUUAGUUCAGAGUUCCCUUUGAAGAGCACACAGCACUUCUGUGCUGUGUGGGUGCUGGAGCACUGGCACAGGCUGCCCAGAGGCUGUGGAUUCUCCUCCUUGGAGGCCUCCUAAAGCUGCCUGGCUGUAGGCCUGAGCACCCUGCUCUGGUGGCCCUGAUGAUGAGGGGAUGGGCCAAAGGGACACAGAGGGCCCUGCCAGCCUCAGCCUUCCAGUGAGUCUACAGGCUUAAGUUUUGCAACUAGAAUUUUUGUUGUGACGUUAACCUUUUUUAUUUCCUUACUGGUUAUCUACACCAAACAUUCUAAAGUUUCACAGAAAUCACUGGUUCUGGUAUUAUGCUGCAUGUUAUAAGAUAAAAUUCUUUAACUAAGUAGUAUAAAUAGUAUGCUUACUGUAUUACUUACACAACAAAAUAUAUUCCUAAUUUCUUAUGUUUCAGAAGAGUUCAACCACUAAGUUUAGUUGCCCUAUAUAUGUGUUUUGAAAAAAAAUUGUUAUUUGCAAGCCUAUUUGCAUUAAUUUUGUCCUCUUUCUAUUCCUGGUCUUUCAAGGGAAGUGAGAAGCUUUCUGUCUCUGUCAGUUCAAGGAGGUGGGCCUUCUGCUUACUCAGGAGUUUAACAGAACAGCAUUUCCCCCAAGGAAGUAACAGAAAAGAUGCAGUUUUAUUUUAGCUGGUUUUACUUUUAUGUUCUCUUUUGCCUCAAGGUUGUGAAAUGAAAUAAAAUAAAAUAGUCCAUAAAUGAGGACUUCUUGAAUAUUCAGUAGAGUCUAAUAAGUAUACAUUUAGAUACAAAAUACAUGAUUUUAAAGUGUUUUGUGAAAAUGUAUCUCCUGAGCUCUGGUAAGGCUGCAUCUUGAGUACUGUGUUCAGUUUUGGGCCCCUCUCUACGAGAAAGACAUUGAGGCCCUGGAACAUGUUCAGAGAAGGGAAAUGAAGUUGUGGGGGGUCUGGAGCACAGAUCUUAUGGGGAGCAGCAGAGGGAGCUUGGAUUCUUCAGCCUAGAGAAGAGGAGGCUCAGGGAAGACCUCAUUGUUCUCUACAAUUACCUGAAAGUAAAGUGAAAAUCUUCUUCUCCUGGGUAACAGUGAUAGUUCGAGAGGGCAUGGCCUCAAGGUGCAUCAGGGUUCAGGUUUGAUAUUACAAAAAGCUUCUUAUCUGGGAGAGCAGCCAGGCAAUGGAACGGGAUGCCCAGGGAGGUGGUUGAGUCACUGUCCCUGGACUUGUACAAGAAUCGUUUAGGUGUGGUACUAAGAAACAUGGUUUAGUGGGCAACAUUUGUGGUGGAUGGUUGGGCUAGAUAAUCUUAGAUAAUCUUUUCCAGCCUUAAUGAUUCCAUGAUUUACACAACCCUGUAAUGUACUCUGCAUUUUCUAUGUGCCAUUCUUGUACAAAUUAAUUACAUUUGCUGAUUUUAUUUUGCAGGAAGGUUGAAGAUGGAGGACUUUAUGAUAACUCACACAGAAUGGUCUUGGAUAUUUUUGUAAAAAAAAAACAAAACAAAACCACCACCACUCCAACUUUGGAAUUUAAUAGAAUACAUUCUUUGUUCAAAUCCUUCCUCUUUCUUAUGGAGAGCUCGCACUGGUUAACAUUUAGAGUUUUAUUUAGUUGCCAUACAUACUUGUCUGGUGCCAUUUGAGACGCCCAAGAGUAUUCUUGCUUGUUGCCAACUGCUGCAGGAAAAUGGUACAAGCUUACAUAGGUUCCCUGCCACUGUACAGAGCUGAUGUAUCUCUGAAUAACAGCCUUGUUAGGUUGCAUUAAGAAUCUACAUUCUGUCAAAUAGGCCUUUCUUGAAUAUCAUUUACAUUGAUGAACCUGGUCACACAGGGACUUCUUCACAUUUUAUCUGGAACUGAUUUCCUCAAAACAACCCGUAUUUGUAGGAGUUUGUCGUGCAAUUCCAUGCUGUCCAAGUACAAAAGGACAAACUAAUUCUGACAUUAUUCAUCAUUCAUUUUAUUUUGGAAAUCUGUGAACUGCGGUGAAAAUGUAGCAUCUCUUUAGAUGCCAUGUAUUUAUUUUAGCAAUGGUGAGAAACUUUCUAUAAUUUCCUUAGUGCAAAUAGAAUCUGACUCAUCAUCUUCAGAGACGAGUUCAAAGUUUAGGUUUACUUCCUGGUUUUUCUUACACUUAAGACCACGACUGAGCACUGUACCACUUGACUUACUUUGUUCUUUCUUUUGUGGAUUUUUUUCUAUCUUCACCUUUCUUCCAGAAGACCAACUGUUCUGUUGUGUUUGCUCCUAAAGCUGCGUGGCAAAUCAACAUUACUCUUUCUGGUGGAAGUUACUGGGAGAAGCAGCUGAAUUCUUUUUGUAAAAAGUUAAUUUAAUAAACAUGGAAGCAUUAAAGCCCAAGUGCUAAAAUUAAAUUUGCAUAGUAUGUGAGGCCUCUCAGUGCACAAAGACCAGAAAAUUAAUAGCAGCAGUAGCUGCUUACAUGGAAAGAAAGCCAUGAGUGGAAAAAGAGCAAACUGAAAGUUCUUUGUCCUCCUUUCCAGCCCUCAGUUCUCAGAAUUUUGUUUGGCAAGGAAAGCAGGGAAUCUGUCUGACUUUCAAAUAAUUACUGACGUAUUACUCCAUUGCAGGCAAGUAGCAAAGAGCAGCUGCUUAUUGCAGCCGGAGCCAAACUCUCCCUUUGCCAUCCCCCAUUUCUUCCUGCCUUCCCUGGAGAAAGCUAUCUCGCUGUUAAGUAAACUGGGAUUGGUUUGCAAGAUAUAUUAAGAUUACAUUAGAAAAAUAUUUACUUACGCAUAAAGGAGCCUUUUAAAAAAUCUUCAUUGCUUAGGAAACAAUGUGAUUUAGCGGGUAAAAAAUAAAAACAGAUUUGUUACUCUACAGUUGUAAAGCUGCCAUCUUUUACGAGCCUGGGAAGAGUGACCUUAUUCACUGUGAGGUUUUGCCAGUUCUGCCUCCACGCAACUAAUUCUUUUCCUGAUUCAUGGUGGGACUUAUCUGGGCCAUGUUUAAAGAGGUCUGCUGCCUCACAGUAAAGGAGUUGAUUAUGAUUUUUAGCUUAUUGACAAACUGUCCUUCACUUUUCAACAUUCCUUACAAGGUUUAACUGAAAAUUGAGAUUUCUUGAGAGAGAAAAUACCUGUUAAAAACAAACAAACAAACAAAAAAUCCAACAAGAACCACCACAACAACCUGUAAGAAAUCAAUAUCAAACCAUUUCAAUUUGUACUGAGCCUAAACCACUGCAACAAAAAGGUCCUUCAGCGUUCUUGUCUUCCAAUAAAUAAAUAAAUAAACAAAUAAAUAAUCUGCAACGUUACCUGAACACUGAAAGUUCAUUUCUCCAUUUAUGUCCACACUGGAGAUGAAUAUAAAACUGAAUUCCCGAGCACUUUUAUUCAUGAACAAACUUCCAUCAGAAAAAAAAAAAGAAAAGAAGUGUGUGUGUGUGUGUGUGGAGGAGUGUUGCUCAAGUUUCUCUUUAUGCAAUUCACAUGAUGACUCCCUGAAUUCCUCCUGAUACUUCAUUAGAGAUGCUGUCUUCCUCCCUUGUUAAGCACUAGUGAGUGGUUGCUGUGUUCCACCCUGCUGUGCAGCAGUGGAGGAAGCAACCUGUCCGUGUUACUUUGUGCUCUGUGCUACGUUGAGAUGUAAGGAAUGCUAAUGACUGUGUGAAAAUUUCAUCUCUGGCAUCCAGAAGGAUGCUGCGGGGUGCUGCGUAUUGCAGCUCUUGGAAUUCAUGGCUGCAGCUGUGGAGUCUAUGCAACUGAGCAUGAUAAAUCACACCAAACAAAUCUUUCUACAUUAAGGAUACCUUUACAGUUACUGUGUACUAUUCUGUUUUGCAUUUGGAUGGAAGCUUGAAGAAAUAUAUUAGGUAACAUUUAUUUAAAUGUUAAAUGAAAUAACAAAUAAAUCCAUGACAUGACUGCAUUUACAUGGAUCUGGAAUUGAUAAAUCAUCUGAUUUUCCAAUUCCAUAAUCUGGAAAUCUUUCCAUGGGGAAAGAAAAAAAUGUAUUGAAGUGAAAAAUGUCAUAUCCUCUUACAAAGAGAACAAACAAAAGUCUUGAGAAAGAUGAAGAGUAUGACACGUCUAUUUCUAAGCCUGGCAAGUAUUCUUGAAACCCUCAACCUGAGAUUAGCUGCUAUGUUUGUUUAAGUCUACUCAUUUCAGAAAGAACGUGCUUCUGUCCUAACUGUGGUUUAAUCAAGCAAUCAUAGCUCCAUCUUUUUGUUAAAGGAGAUGGUGUCUGGUGUUUUUCUUCAUGAAACAGAGCAAAAAGACAGGCAGUUUACAUUACGAGGUUUCUCUAGCUAGCAUAGUAUGAAAGGAGCCAUCUUGUGGUUGUCUAUUCUGCAAACAAAAUGUUGCUACAGUAUUGCCUUGAAAAGCUGAAGUUACCUCUAUAGUUCUAUGCUAUGUAUAUAGAACUACCUCUAUAGUUCUGUGACAAUUUUUCUUCUACUUGUUUAGAAAUGUUGCAUUUUGAGUAAAACUGUUUUCACUCAAUCUUUUUCGUUCCAUCAGAUUUCUUAUUCUACCAGGCAUUCAAUCUAGCCAAACAGAAUUAAACUUUGUAUGUUCAUUCUACGUCCUCUAUUAGUCAACCCACACCAAUAUUUACCAGUCCUCUGAGUUCUUACACCCUUUAAUUUGCACUCUAAGUUCUGCUUUAAACUGCAGUCAAUCAUAUCUCUGAAAUACGACUCUCUUAGUGGAACCGAUUUCUAAGUAAGUGACAAAUUAUUAUUUUUUUAAUAAUAUCCAUUAAGAUGUAAUCUUUGGGAACUAUGUGUAUUCCAGAUGCAAAACUGAAACAAACCAACCUUCAGAUUUGACCUGGGGAGACAACAUUUGAUAAUCAGUCUGAUAAAUGAUAAAUCAGUCUGAUUUCUUGGCCUCUUUGAUAAUACACAAAGACACUUGGAUUAAUCUUCACAAUCCUCAGCAGAUAUAGCACCCAAACCUGCCCCCAGUGCUGGAGGCGAGGCCACCCACCGCAGAGCACAGUGAGACAACCCCUCCCCUGGCCCAGUGGCAGUGCUGGGCCUGCUGCCUGCCAGGGCACUGUGGACCCUUUGCCUGCCAGGGCACACUGCUGGCUCACAUUCAACUUGCCACAGCCCCCAUAUCACUUUGCAUGGGGCUGCUCUCCAUCUUCUUGUCUUUAGUCUGUGCUUAGAUCCAGUGUUGCCUCAUCCCAAAUGCAGAAUCCAGCACUUGCUGUUGUGGAACUUCAUGCAGUUGGUGAUUGCCCAGCUCUCCAAUGUACCAAGAUCUCUCUGCAGAGCUUCUCUGCCCUCAAGGGAGUCAACAGCUCCUUCUUGAUGCCAUCUGCAAGCUUAUUUAGUAUACCUUCAAGAAACAUAUCCAAGUAAUUAAUAGAAACAUUGAAUAGAAUUGGACUUAAAAUGGAGCUGUGUGAAGCCCAUCACUGACAGACGUAGCCCAACCCAUCAGCCAACUAUUCACCUGUCAUGUUAUGUUUUUGCCUAGCUGUAUGCUGGACAGGAUACUGUGAGAAACAGUAUUGAAAGCUUUGCUGUCAUCCAAAAAUAUUGCACAUCCUUGCAUCCUUGGUUGAUUGGAUCUCCUUUAAUAAAGUGAGCCUCUGUGUAUUUCUGAAGACAAUCACAGCAGUGAUUGAGGUUCACAGACUGACCUCUGUCUCUGCAUAUUUGAGUGGGACUUGAAAAUUUAUUUUUUAUGCAUUUCUAUGAUAAUAUGGAUUUACUUCAGUAAAACUGAAGUCAGACUUAA